GUUUCCCUCAGGAUAGCUGGAGUAUAUAUUUUUAUAAAUGAUAAGUUAGAUUAGGUAAAGCGAAUGAUUAGAAGUAUGGGGAAAAAAAUUUUUCUUCACUUAUUCUCAAACUUUAAAUAGGUCUAUAUUAUAAGAAAUAAAUUAAUUUUAUUUUUAUUGAAAAGAAGAAUUUUGAAAAACUACUUUGUGGGCCAUUCCUGGUAAGCAGGACUGGCGAUGUGGGAUGAACCAAACGUAAAAGUUAAAGUGCCUAAAUUUUAAUGCUCAUUCUAGAUACCAUAAAAGGUGUGGCUUGAUCUAGACAGAAGGACGGUGGUCAUGGAAGUCGAAAUCCGCUAAGAAGUGUGUAAAAACUUACCUUUCGAAUUAAGUUGCCCUGAAAAUGGAUGGCGCUUAAGCA
rnacentral:rRNA from 1 species